ACUUGUCUUUGUUUUGGGUGUCGGUGGAGUUACUCAGUAGCCCGCCACAUUUACCCUUUGUGUUGUUAUUUACCGAGUAUCCGUUCUACAUUAAACAUCUAGCUACUGAACCACUGAAUGUGGUCGUCAUUUAUCGUAUAACGUAUUAUUAUUAAAAAAUAAUUAAUCAAAAAUUUAUUAAGUUGAAAUAAUUAUUAAUGCGUAUGUUAAUUAAAAAUACAAACUGUAAAUAGGAAGUGUAGUGUCUGUAUGUACUUGUAUAUACACAAUAUAACUUAAAAAAAUAAAAAGUGACCAACGGUAAAUAAUCAGGAGAGGAGGUAUACUUAAUGAUAAGGCAUUAUAAAGUUUUAUAAUACGUUAUAAAACCAAAUCAUAAUAAUACAUAAAGUAUUAUACAAUUUUUUUAUAUGAGCUCACCCGCUAGAAAAUUUUUAUAAUCAGAAUUUCGGAAAAUAUUUGAGAACCAGAGUACCAGGACCACUAAUUUAAUCUUAAUUGAACUAAAUGCAGAUUUAAAAUACUUCAAAGUAUUUGAACAAUUUUGUGGGUGUCUUGGCAUUUUUAUGAAGCAUCUUUUUGACCAUAAAUGUUAUAUUCUAUAAAAGUUUAUAUAUCUAUAAAUAAUAAAUACCUCCAUAACCAUAGAACAAACCAUCGAACUUUUUAUUUCU